UACGGAGGGUGCAAGCGUUAUCCGGAUUUACUGGGUUUAAAGGGUGCGUAGGUGGGCAGUUAAGUCAGUGGUGAAAUCUCCGAGCUUAACUCGGAAACUGCCAUUGAUACUAUCUGUCUUGAAUAUCCUGGAGGUGAGCGGAAUAUGUCAUGUAGCGGUGAAAUGCUUAGAUAUGACAUAGAACACCAAUUGCGAAGGCAGCUCACUACGGGAUUCAUUGACACUGAGGCACGAAAGCGUGGGGAUCAAACAGG
rnacentral:rRNA from 1 species